AUCCAGCUGAUGAGUUUCAAAUAGGAUGAAACGUGCGUCCUGGAU
rfam:Schistosoma curassoni strain Dakar, Senegal genome assembly, scaffold: SCTD_contig0000549